rnacentral:rRNA from 1 species
UCAUCUUCGGGGGUAGAGCACUGUUUCGGCAAGGGGGUCAUCCCGACUUACCAACCCGAUGCAAACUGCGAAUACCGGAGAAUGUUAUCACGGGAGACACACGGCGGGUGCUAACGUCCGUCGUGAAGAGGGAAACAACCCAGACCGCCAGCUAAGGUCCCAAAGUCAUGGUUAAGUGGGAAACGAUGUGGGAAGGCCCAGACAGCCAGGAUGUUGGCUUAGAAGCAGCCAUCAUUUAAAGAAAGCGUAAUAGCUCACUGGUCGAGUCGGCCUGCGCGGAAGAUGUAACGGGGCUAAACCAUGCACCGAAGCUGCGGCAGCGACACUAUGUGUUGUUGGGUAGGGGAGCGUUCUGUAAGCCUGUGAAGGUGUGCUGUGAGGCAUGCUGGAGGUAUCAGAAGUGCGAAUGCUGACAUAAGUAACGAUAAAGCGGGUGAAAAGCCCGCUCGCCGGAAGACCAAGGGUUCCUGUCCAACGUUAAUCGGGGCAGGGUGAGUCGACCCCUAAGGCGAGGCCGAAAGGCGUAGUCGAUGGGAAACAGGUUAAUAUUCCUGUACUUGGUGUUACUGCGAAGGGGGGACGGAGAAGGCUAUGUUGGCCGGGCGACGGUUGUCCCGGUUUAAGCGUGUAGGCUGGUUUUCCAGGCAAAUCCGGAAAAUCAAGGCUGAGGCGUGAUGACGAGGCACUACGGUGCUGAAGCAACAAAUGCCCUGCUUCCAGGAAAAGCCUCUAAGCAUCAGGUAACAUUAAAUCGUACCCCAAACCGACACAGGUGGUCAGGUAGAGAAUACCAAGGCGCUUGAGAGAACUCGGGUGAAGGAACUAGGCAAAAUGGUGCCGUAACUUCGGGAGAAGGCACGCUGAUAUGUAGGUGAAGUCCCUCGCGGAUGGAGCUGAAAUCAGUCGAAGAUACCAGCUGGCUGCAACUGUUUAUUAAAAACACAGCACUGUGCAAACACGAAAGUGGACGUAUACGGUGUGACGCCUGCCCGGUGCCGGAAGGUUAAUUGAUGGGGUUAGCGGUAACGCGAAGCUCUUGAUCGAAGCCCCGGUAAACGGCGGCCGUAACUAUAACGGUCCUAAGGUAGCGAAAUUCCUUGUCGGGUAAGUUCCGACCUGCACGAAUGGCGUAAUGAUGGCCAGGCUGUCUCCACCCGAGACUCAGUGAAAUUGAACUCGCUGUGAAGAUGCAGUGUACCCGCGGCAAGACGGAAAGACCCCGUGAACCUUUACUAUAGCUUGACACUGAACAUUGAGCCUUGAUGUGUAGGAUAGGUGGGAGGCUUUGAAGUGUGGA